UGGGGAAUCUUGCGCAAUGGGCGAAAGCCUGACGCAGCGAUGCCGCGUGAGGGAAGAAGGCCUUCGGGUUGUAAACCUCUUUCAGGAGGGACGAAGCUACUCGGGUGAAUAGCCCAGAGGGUGACGGUACCUCCAGAAGAAGCCCCGGCUAACUACGUGCCAGCAGCCGCGGUAAUACGUAGGGGGCAAGCGUUGUCCGGAUUUAUUGGGCGUAAAGAGCGUGUAGGCGGCCUGAAAGGUCAGCUGUGAAAACUCGAGGCUUAACCUCGAGACGUCGGUUGAAACCAUCUGGCUAGAGUCCGGAAGAGGAGUGUGGAAUUCCCGGUGUAGCGGUGAAAUGCGCAGAUAUCGGGAAGAACACCCGUGGCGAAGGCGGCACUCUGGGACGGUACUGACGCUGAGACGCGAAAGCGUGGGGAGCGAACAGGAUUAGAUACCCUGGUAGUCCACGCUGUAAACGAUGGGUGCUAGGUGUGGGGGGUGUCGACUCCCUCCGUGCCGAAGCUAACGCAUUAAGCACCCCGCCUGGGGAGUACGGCCGCAAGGCUAA
rnacentral:rRNA from 1 species